GGGUCAGAGACAAAGGGUAGUUGAUUACGCAAGGCACAAUAAGUAACAUGUACUUCUUGUUGGUUUGUAUCCUUUUUCUGAGUCUACCUAAAUUCCAUGGGGGUGACACUGGUGGGCCUCUACAUUAGCCUGCUCAUGCAGUACAUUGCAUGACAUACAAUGGGCAUUAGGCUUAGGGAAUCUGCUUUAAUAGUGGCAGAAACAAGCCUGAUAUUGGUCCAGGGGGAGUCAUUGCCUUAUCUCUCCAGGUUGUUAUCUGCAAAUACAACUCUGAGAAAUGGCUCAGGUAAGAACAUCAUGGUCUUGCAUUGGUGGCAUACCCAGCAAGGAUGCUCAGGGCUGAUGAAGAAGUGUCUCUUCCAACACAGGGAUAUUUUUGAAAUGAAUUUAUUACAAUGGAGAUGAAUAAAGCAAACAUUUACUCAUCAUAUGCCUGAGAAAAUGUCAUGUCCCAAUGCCAGGAUAUAAGUUGUCUAAGUUAAUUUUAAUAAUCCUGUGAGGUUAUGGUUAUUUUUGUCCUAUUGCAGAUGAUGAACUGAGGGCCGGAGAGAUUAGGGAGCUGGACAGAGUUCAACCAGCCAGGAAGUGAGCUAGGACUGGUGGAGCAGAGAUUCUAUCCUGGUUUAUCUGGCCCCAAAGCAGAUCACCUUGACCGUUAUUGAAUAUUUGACAGGUGGGGCCUAGAGGAGGGCAAUAGGUUGACCAAGGGCACACAGAGCAUAGGAGACAGAGCUGAGACUUGAAUGCAGGUCUCUUGAUUCCAAGCCAUGGGUCUUCAUCUCCUAUACUAACAGUUUCUGCUCGCAUCCCAGUCUGGUCCUUGCUGGCAAUGGGUUCCUGGGGCAGAGGACCAGGAGGCUGGUUGUGGGGGAGUCCAUCCUGAUGUUUGGGACUGGGGAGGGGCACAAAGGAGGCAGGGCCCAGCUGUAGCUCUCUUCCCUUCUCUGGCCAGGACAAGUGGCAGCACCUGGCCUCAGAGGGCAGCAGUCGUCUGGACAUGUUUGAGCACAUCAGCCUCAUGACCUUGGACAGUCUGCAGAAAUGCAUCUUCAGCUUUGACAGCCAUUGUCAGGAGAGGCCCAGUGAAUAUAUUGCCACCAUCUUGGAGCUCAGUGCCCUUGUAGAAAAAAGAAACCAGCAUAUCCUCCAGCACAUGGACUUUCUGUAUUACCUCUCCCAUGACGGGCGGCGCUUCCACAGGGCCUGCCGCCUGGUGCAUGACUUCACAGACGCUGUCAUCCGGGAGCGGCGUCGCACCCUCCCCACUCAGGGUAUUGAUGAUUUUCUCAAAGACAAAGCCAAGUCCAAGACUUUGGAUUUCAUUGAUGUGCUUCUGCUGAGCAAGGAUGAAGAUGGGAAGGCAUUGUCAGAUGAGGAUAUAAGAGCAGAGGCUGACACCUUCAUGUUUGGAGGCCAUGACACCACGGCCAGUGGCCUCUCCUGGGUCCUGUACAACCUUGCGAGGCACCCAGAGUACCAGGAGCGCUGCCGACAGGAGGUGCAAGAGCUUCUGAAGGACCGCGAUCCUAAAGAGAUUGAAUGGGACGACCUGGCCCAGCUGCCCUUCCUGACCAUGUGCGUGAAGGAGAGCCUGAGGUUACAUCCCCCAGCUCCCUUCAUCUCCCGAUGCUGCACCCAGGACAUUGUUCUCCCAGAUGGCCGAGUCAUCCCCAAAGGCAUUACCUGCGUCAUCAAUAUUAUAGGGGUCCAUCACAACCCAACUGUGUGGCCGGAUCCUGAGGUGCUGCCUUCCCCAUUCACCACCACCACCCCUAUCCUCUACUUUUGUGUGUGUGUGUGUGAAUUCCAAGGUUCCUAGUGGAGGGGGCAGGGUUUUGAUGAGGAAAAUCCAACAUCACCUUGCCCCAAAACACACACAACUGUCUCUCCAAGGCUGCUGGACAUAGGAAAUCCCACGGGCGAACCUUCUUUGUCUCACCUGCAGGUCUACGACCCCUUCCGCUUUGACCCAGAGAACAGCAAGGGGAGGUCCCCUCUGGCUUUUAUUCCGUUCUCCGCAGGGCCCAGGAACUGCAUCGGGCAGGCGUUCGCCAUGGCGGAGAUGAAAGUGGUCCUGGCGUUGAUGCUGCUGCACUUCCGGUUCCUGCCAGACCACACUGAGCCCCGCAGGAAGCCGGAACUGAUCAUGCGCGCCGAGGGCGGGCUUUGGCUGCGGGUGGAGCACCUGAAUGUAGGCUUGCAGUGACUUUCUGACCCAUCCACCUGUCUUUUUGCAGAUUGUCAUGAAUAAAACGGUGCUGUCA
rnacentral:sRNA from 1 species